UUGACAUGUCCGGAAUCCCGAAGAGAUUUGGGAGUCGCUCGCAAGAGAACCGGAACGACAGGUGCUGCAUGGCUGUCGUCAGCUCGUGUCGUGAGAUGUUGGGUUAAGUCCCGCAACGAGCGCAACCCUUGUCAUUAGUUGCCAUCGAUUUGGUUGGGCACUCUAAUGAGACUGCCGGUGACAAACCGGAGGAAGGUGGGGAUGACGUCAAGUCCUCAUGGCCCUUAUGGGUAGGGCUUCACACGUCAUACAAUGGUCGGUACAGAGGGUUGCCAACCCGCGAGGGGGAGCUAAUCCCACAAAGCCGAUCGUAGUCCGGAUCGCAGUCUGCAACUCGACUGCGUGAAGUCGGAAUCGCUAGUAAUCGUGGAUCAGCAUGUCACGGUGAAUACGUUCCCGGGUCUU
rnacentral:rRNA from 1 species